rnacentral:rRNA from 1 species
GGCGGCACGCCUAACACAUGCAAGUCGAACGCAGUAGCAAUACUGAGUGGCGAACGGGUGAGUAUAAUGUGGGUAUCUGCCUUUUGGUUUGGAAUAACACGAGGAAACUUGUGCUAAUACCGGAUAAGCCUUUACAGGGAAAGCUUUAGCGCCGAAAGAUGAGCUCAUACUUGAUUAGCUAGUUGGUAAGGUAAUGGCUUACCAAGGCUACGAUCAAUAGCUGAUCUGAGAGGAUGAUCAGCCACAUUGGGACUGAGACACGGCCCAGACUCCUACGGGAGGCAGCAGUGGGGAAUCUUGCACAAUGGGGGAAACCCUGAUGCAGCGAUGCCGCGUGAGUGAAGAAGGCCUUUGGGUUGUAAAGCUCUUUCGUCGGGGAAGAAAAUGACUGUACCCGAAUAAGAAGGUCCGGCUAACUUCGUGCCAGCAGCCGCGGUAAUACGAAGGGACCUAGCGUAGUUCGGAAUUACUGGGCUUAAAGAGCUCGUAGGUGGUUAAGAAAGUUGGUGGUGAAAGCCCAAGGCUUAACCUUGGAACUGCCACCAAAACUUUUUGACUAGAGUAUGAUAGAGGUAAGUGGAAUUUCUAGUGUAGAGGUGAAAUUCGUAGAUAUUAGAAAGAACACCAAUUGCGAAGGCAACUUUCUGGAUCAUUACUGACACUGAGGAGCGAAAGCAUGGGUAGCGAAGAGGAUUAGAUACCCUCGUAGUCCAUGCCGUAAACGAUGUGUGCUAGACGUUGGAAAUUUAUUUUUCAGUGUCGCAGCAAAGCGUUAAGCACACCGNC